UCAGGCGAUUUAUCAUUUAUCUUGGUGGAGCAAACAAGCUCAAGUUGUAUUAUUAAAAAAAAAUAAAAAUAAAAAAUAAAAGAAACAUAUUUCACGGAGAGAAGAGAAAAAUCCCCAAGCGGCAGCAGAAAGAAAGAAAAAGCAAAGAAAUUGAAGAAUGGGAGUUGAUUAUUACAAGACUCUUCAGGUCGACCGAAAUGCAAAAGAUGACGAUUUGAAGAGGGCAUAUCGUAAACUGGCCAUGAAAUGGCAUCCCGAUAAAAACCCUAAGAACAAGAAAGAAGCUGAAGCCAAAUUUAAGCAAAUCUCCGAAGCUUACGAUGUUUUGAGUGAUCCCCAAAAACGAGCCGUUUAUGAUCAGUACGGAGAAGAAGGGUUAAAAGGCCAGAUGCCACCCACGGGGGCUGGAGGGUUUGCGGGCGGGGCCGACGGGGGUGGUCCGACAAUGUUCCGGUUCAAUACUCGGAGCCCUGACGAUAUUUUCUCGGAGUUUUUCGGGUUUUCGAGUCCGUUUGGAGGGAUGGGUGAUAUGGGCGGGUCACGUGCAGGGGCGUCCGGCUUCCCCAGGGGCAUGUUUGGGGAAGAUAUAUUUGGCUCAUUUAGGGGUGGAGCUGGUGAGGGUUCUACAACUAUGCCCCGAAAAGGACCCGCUAUUGAACGAACAUUGCCUUGUAGCUUGGAGGAUUUGUAUAAAGGGACUACCAAGAAGAUGAAGAUUUCUAGGGAUGUUACUGAUGGUAGCGGGAGACCUACUACGGUGGAAGAAAUUCUUACAAUUGAGAUUAAGCUAGGGUGGAAAAAAGGUACAAAAAUCACUUUUCCAGAGAAGGGAAAUGAGCAACGAGGGGUUAUUCCAUCUGACCUUGUUUUCAUCAUUGAUGAGAAGCCUCACAGUGUGUUCAAGAGGGACGGCAAUGAUCUUAUUGUAACUCAGAAGAUAUCUUUAGUGGAAGCUCUAACUGGUUAUACAGUACAGCUGACAACACUCGAUGGACGGAACCUGACAGUACCUAUUAACAAUAUCAUCAGUCCAACCUAUGAAGAAGUUGUUAAAGGGGAGGGAAUGCCCAUUCCUAAGGAACCUUCUAAGAAAGGAAAUUUGAGAAUUAAAUUCAACAUAAAGUUUCCUUCCAAGCUUACUACAGAGCAGAAAACUGGCCUGAAGCGGUUAAUCUCAUCUCCUUAAGAAUUGGUGGUAGCCCUCCUUUCUACCAUCCGUCAGCCAACUUGUUUAAGUUGACACGAUCUUUUAGUCCCUGAGACUUUGAAUUGGAGGUUGUACUUGACCAGUCCUUUGUGUGAGAAACGAAGUGUGGAGUGGUAUGGAGCAAGCUGAAUUGGGUCUUCAGUUUAGCUCAGCCAGCUUUAUCUAUGAACAAGGAAAAGCCGCAAGUAACCGAUUAUGAAGUGUUCAGUAAUCUUGGCUCAGGAUGAAAGCAGAGUACAAUCAUUGGUCGUUAUUUUGUUUUAUUAAAAUAAAAGCAAUUACUAUGGAUUGGUGCGAUGGAAAAACUAAAGCCGCAGAUAGCGAAUUGGGGGCAUAUGAUGGGUAGUUAACCAGCAGGGCUGCUACUAGUUUUACGUUUGAUCGAGUUUGUCAAAUCGAGCGGUUUUGCAAAAGGAUGUGGUAUUCCAAAAUCCCUGCCUGCAUUAACCUAACAAGCAAGUUUAAUACCAUCAUUAUUAUUAUUGUACGAAAUUGAAAAUUGAAAAUAACAACUUGUAUUGCCAACUUUCAAACUUGUUCUAUCAAUAUAUAUUGCUCAAAAUUCGAAACACCCAUUUCAAAAAAAAAAAAGUAUGAUGGCGGUUUUUCUGAAUACAGUGUAGAUUAGUGAGUGAGCAAUCCGGUUACGAGGGGCACAACCAAUGGGGAAGCGCCAAAGCGUGAAAAGAGAGGAGUGACACUAGCAAUAACAUAUUCCUCUCAAUUUCAAUUCCAUUCACCACCCCCUUCUAACAACCUAGCGUUUACUCAACUAAGUUCGACCCAAAAAAAAAAAAAACUGAACUCUCUCUGUCUCUCUCCCGUCUCCGCUUCAUUUUUCCUUCAAUUUUUUUUUUUUUAUUUUUAUUUUUACAUUUACUUAUGGUUUGUGUUUGGAUCUCGAUUCCCUCAUGAUGCCUCCUCUAUUUCUAUAGUUGGCGUCGAUAAAGAUUCCAUUCCUUUAUAAUUGGCCAUG